AUUGAACGCUGGCAGCAGGCCUAACACAUGCAAGUCGAGCGGGGACUUCGGUCCUAGCGGCGAACGGGUGAGUAAUGCUUGGGAAUCUGCCCAGUAGUGGGGGAUAACGUCCCGAAAGGGACGCUAAUACCGCAUACGUCCUACGGGAGAAAGAGGGGGAUCUUCGGACCUCUCGCUAUUGGAUGAGCCCAAGUCGGAUUAGCUAGUUGGUAGGGUAAUGGCCUACCAAGGCGACGAUCCGUAGCUGGUCUGAGAGGAUGAUCAGCCACACUGGAACUGAGACACGGUCCAGACUCCUACGGGAGGCAGCAGUGGGGAAUAUUGGACAAUGGGCGAAAGCCUGAUCCAGCCAUGCCGCGUGUGUGAAGAAGGCCUUCGGGUUGUAAAGCACUUUAAGCGGGGAGGAAGGUUCGCGGCCUAAUACGUCGCGGAAUUGACGUUACCCGCAGAAUAAGCACCGGCUAACUCUGUG
rnacentral:rRNA from 1 species